UACGUAGGUGGCAAGCGUUUGUCCGGAUUUACUGGGCGUAAAGAGCGCGCAGGCGGUCGUUCAAGUCGCGUGUGAAAGCCCCCGGCUCAACUGGGGAGGGUCACGCGAUACUGAUCGACUCGAAGGCAGGAGAGGGAAGUGGAAUUCCCGGUGUAGUGGUAGAAAUGCGUAGAUAUCGGGAGGAACACCAGUGGCGAAGGCGACUUCCUGGCCUGUUCUGACGCUG
rnacentral:rRNA from 1 species